CAUAAUUUAGCAGUAAACAUCUUGAAACACAGUCACGCAAGCACUCACAUGGAAAUUAAACUGUCAGAAAUAGACAGAUAAAUAUUAGAAAUUUAAAGAUGAUAUGAGCAAGGACCAUGUUAUUCUCAAAUUUGGACGUAACUGCAAAGACACUGAGAUUAAUUGGGACCCGCUUUUCCCCUUGUGAUUGGCCAAUGACUAACGAAUACAGUUUGAGUUUUGUAUCAGACUAUCAGUACCAGCCAAUAGCUAGCUCCUAAAUUUGUAAUUGCCAUCAGAACCUGACCACACCAUGUUGAUAAUAUCAUUGACGUGUGAAUUGAAUAUCAUCAGCUAGCAUAAUGUCUCCUUCUAGCAAACACUAAAUUAACAUGAGGGUAUAAUUUUUUAACAUAAAUUGAAGAGAAAACAGAAUAGGACCAAUGGUCUCAUGUCUCAACCAAUUAGAAAGAAGGGAUCAUGCUUUCUGAUUCCUUAGAAGUUGCAGAUCACCCUUUCCACAUAUAUUGAUCUCUAAUAUCAUAUUAUAAUCCUCUACCCAGAAAACUAGCUUAGAAGUAAGGAUUGUUUUACCAUUUAUAAGGAAUCUUUUGACAAUAUCUUUAGUCGGUGUGAGACUUAUCAACAACACGAAAGAUGCCAAAACACUAGAGAUUAGAGAAAAAGAUAUACUCAUAUCCAUAUCAAUUAACGACACCAACAAUACACUAUGGCCAGAGGCAUAAUAAAACGUACAUUUAUUGCAAAGCUACUUUAGUUCAUACUCAUAGUAGACAACAUCAUACAGAUAGAGAUAGCUUGAAGUUAAAAUCACAUUACAAACAAAGAAAACAAGGACCAGAAGAAAAUCAGAGAAGAGUACAGUACUGCAUAAUAGAGAUGUUGCCAAUACGAAGGAGGUGAAGAAGUUGAAAAAUGCCAAAGGAUCGAAGUUGCCCUUUCCAAGAGAAAUCACCUUCAAGAAAUUGGAGGUUCAUUCCCUGCAGCAAUCUUAGCCUUGAAAGAAAAGGAGCAUAGAAACACAAAUACCACUAAACACACCAUCCAAAUCUCCACCACCCCCACUGCCAAGUUGUGUCACCAUGGGGCAGUGGGGUGGGUG
rnacentral:lncRNA from 1 species